UACGUAGGAUGCAAGCGUUGUCCGGAAUUAUUGGGCGUAAAGAGCGCGCAGGCGGUCUGCCAAGUCAGAUGUGAAAGAGGCCGGCUUAACCGGCAAGGGUCAUUUGAAACUGACAGACUAGAGUGCAGCAGAGGAUAGCGGAAUUCCCGGUGUAGUGGUGAAAUGCGUAGAUAUCAGGAGGAAUACCGAUGGCGAAGGCAGGUCUCUGGGCUAUAACUGACGCUCAUGCACGAAAGCGUGGGGAGCAAACAGG
rnacentral:rRNA from 1 species